rnacentral:rRNA from 1 species
GCUUAACCUGGUUGAUCCUGCCAGUAGUCAUAUGCUUGUCUCAAAGAUUAAGCCAUGCAUGUCUAAGCACAAGCCGAUUAAUGGUGAAGCCGCGAAUGGCUCAUUACAACAGCCAUAGUUUCUUAGAUCUUACUUUUCUACUUGGAUAACUGUGGUAAUUCUAGAGCUAAUACACGCAAACAAGCUCAGACCUUACGGAAUGAGCGCAUUUAUUAGAACAAAAACCAAUCGGAUCUCGGUCCGUCAUUUGGUGAAUCUGAAUAACUUUGCUGAUCGCACGGUCAUCGUACCGGCGACAUAUCUUUCAAAUGUCUGCCUUAUCAACUUUCGAUGGUAGUUUAUGCGCCUACCAUGGUUGUAACGGGUAACGGAGAAUAAGGGUUCGACUCCGGAGAGGGAGCCUGAGAAACGGCUACCACAUCCAAGGAAGGCAGCAGGCACGCAAAUUACCCACUCCCAGCACGGGGAGGUAGUGACGAAAAAUAACGAGACGGCUCGCUAUGCGGUCCGUCAUCGGAAUGGGUACAAUUUAAAUCCUUUAACGAGGAUCUAUUGGAGGGCAAGUCUGGUGCCAGCAGCCGCGGUAAUUCCAGCUCCAAUAGCAUAUAUUAAAGUUGUUGCGGUUAAAACGCCCGUAGUUGGAUCAGCGGACGUGGACGAACGGUCUCCCGAUGGGCUGUACUGUUCUCCUGUCCUAAUCAAUGUCUAGUUCGCUCUAGGUGCUCUUCACUGAGUGUCUAGAGUGGCUGGAACUUUUACUUUGAAAAAAUUAGAGUGCUCAAAGCAGGCGUCUCAGCCUGAAUAGUGGUGCAUGGAAUAAUGGAAUAGGACCUCAGUUCUAUUUUGUUGGUUUUCGGAGCAUGAGGUAAUGAUUAAGAGGGACAGACGGGGCAUUCGUAUUGCGACGUUAGAGGUGAAAUUCUUGGAUCGUCGCAAGACGAACUACUGCGAAAGCAUUUGCCAAGAAUGUUUUCAUUAAUCAAGGACGAUAGUUAGAGGUUCGAAGGCGAUCAGAUACCGCCCUAGUUCUAACCGUAAACGAUGUCAACCAGCGAUCCGCAGGAGUUAUUCAUGACUCUGCGGGCAGCUUCCGGGAAACCAAAGUUUUUGGAUUCCGGGGGGAGUAUGGUUGCAAAGCUGAAACUUAAAGGAAUUGACGGAAGGGCACCACCAGGAGUGGAGCCUGCGGCUUAAUUUGACUCAACGCGGGGAAACUCACCCGGCCCGGACACCGUAAGGAUUGACAGAUUGAGAGCUCUUUCUUGAUUCGGUGGGUGGUGGUGCAUGGCCGUUCUUAGUUGGUGGAGCGAUUUGUCUGGUUAAUUCCGAUAACGAACGAGACUUUAGCCUACUAAAUAGAAGGCAAAUCAUUCGUUUGCUGUACUUCUUAGAGGGACUAGGGGCGUCUAGCCUCACGAGAUUGAGCAAUAACAGGUCUGUGAUGCCCUUAGAUGUCCGGGGCCGCACGCGCGCUACACUGAAGGAUUCAGCAAGUGUUCAGCCUGGUCUGAGAAGAUCGGGUAACCUAAUGAAACUCCUUCGUGAUUGGGAUAGGGACUCGUAAUUAUUUCCCUUGAACGAGGAAUUCCUAGUAAGUGCGGGUCAUCAUCUCGCGUUGAUUACGUCCCUGCCCUUUGUACACACCGCCCGUCGCCACUAUCGAGUGAUGAGUUAUCCAGAUUCUCGGACUGGCUCCUUGGCGGCUUCACGGCUGCCAUCGUGGCUUGGAAAGAGACUCUAGAUCAUUUAUCGCAAGAAAGUAAAAGUCGUAACAAGGUAGCCGUAAGCC